ACAGCUCUCUUGGGGUCCGCUGAUCUGUACCUCGACCCGAUGCCCACAUGCGAACUGAGCGAUCUUCAGACACUGUGAUGAUUUCGUUGAAUUCCUCCCUCAG